rnacentral:rRNA from 1 species
AUUGAACGCUGGCGGCAGGCCUAACACAUGCAAGUCGAGCGGAUGAAGGGAGCUUGCUCCUGGAUUCAGCGGCGGACGGGUGAGUAAUGCCUAGGAAUCUGCCUGGUAGUAGGGGAUAACGUCCGGAAACGGGCGCUAAUACCGCAUACGUCCUGAGGGAGAAAGUGGGGGAACUUCGGACCUCACGCUAUCAGAUGAGCCUAGGUCGGAUUAGCUAGUUGGUGGGGUAAAGGCCUACCAAGGCGACGAUCCGUAACUGGUCUGAGAGGAUGAUCAGUCACACUGGAACUGAGACACGGUCCAGACUCCUACGGGAGGCAGCAGUGGGGAAUAUUGGACAAUGGGCGAAAGCCUGAUCCAGCCAUGCCGCGUGUGUGAAGAAGGUCUUCGGAUUGUAAAGCACUUUAAGUUGGGAGGAAGGGCAGUAAGUUAAUACCUUGCUGUUUUGACGUUACCAACAGAAUAAGCACCGGCUAACUUCGUG